rnacentral:rRNA from 1 species
UACGGGGGGAGCAAGCGUUGUUCGGAUUUAUUGGGCGUAAAGGGCGCGUAGGCGGCGCGACAAGUCACUUGUGAAAUCUCCGGGCUUAACCCGGAGCGGCCAAGUGAUACUGUAGUGCUAGAGUGCGGAAGGGGCUACUGGAAUUCUCGGUGUAGCGGUGAAAUGCGUAGAUAUCGAGAGGAACACCUGCGGCGAAGGCGGUUCUCUGGGCCUGACCUGACGCUGAGGAGCGAAAGCGUGGGGAGCGAACAGG